CUCCGGAAGGGCUGGACCGGCCCUGCGCAGUACCAGCAGGGAGCAGAGACAAGGCCGACACCAGGGUAUCGGGAGCAGUGAUAAAGCUCCAGUUGGAAGGCUCACAGAAAUCGGAGACGAUUGUCAGGGAAGAUUGCUUUCUCCACCCAGAUACCCCUAUACCACCUAUGCUUCUGGAGGUUUGAGUCCUGAGGCCACAAGAGAUAUAGUUCAUGUGUGGAGUUGGCUCCCCCGUCAUUCCCCAGAGUCAAACUGUUUGCAAGUGCUAUACAGCAAAGAGUGAUGAGCAGAGGAGCAGGACUUUAUUCUGGACAAAAGUGGCUGGGUGUUCAGUCCCCCAGCAAGAUAGAUGCCUCACGCACAUGCUGCCGUACCACAUGGUCCAACAAGGUGUGCACAUCUCUAGCUGCUUGGGCAGCGGCCUCAAGCACCUGCUCCAAGUGGUCCUCAUGCAGCCGGGCAUCCAUUUCAAGCAGUGCGAUCUGGCCUGAGGCUGGCAGCAGGGCCAGGGCUAGUUGGGGACCACCAGCUGCUUCCUCCACAUGGCUGAGGUCUGCCAGGGCUGUGCCUUCCACAAAACCAGCUGAACAUGCACACACAAAGUCCCGCAUGGGUAUCCCAGCAUCCAACACUGCCAGCGUGGCGGCAUUCACACAAGCUGCGUAGGUUCCACCAUCAGCCUGCAGUACCUGCAAGGACCCCCCCACGCUGUUAUCAGUCCAUUAAACUGCCAUCCCACCCUCCAGUUCCCUUCCCUCGGUGGGUUGAAAACUGCAGCCAGCUCACCUGCACAUAGAUGUCAAUCUGGGAUCGUGGGUGCAGCUGAGUAAGAAUGGCUGCCUCAAAAGUCUGGCGCAGCUGUAGGCCCAUCUCACAGGACUUACGGUCUCCAUGUGGCCUCCGCUUGCGCUCACCUGUGCUGAAGGUUGCUGAACUAUAUUGACAGUUCACCAGAGCCCGGUCAGGCAGGGCUCGAGACCUGGAACCCCGGAUCUAGAAGAGAAAGGAUGCAUAAGUCAAGCCUACUCUCCCAGCUCACACUCCCUAGUCCUUUCAACCUCCUUCUCAAGAGAGUGGCAGCAACCUUAUCUCCAAAACAUCCAAGGGAGAUCCAUUUGUCAGUCUAGGCCAUCAUCACCUCUGGCGUGCAUGCCUCACUUCAUUUCCUCCCAACUCCUCUAAGUGGUGGCCACAGUAUGUUUAAAAACAUCAAGCCGAUUCUGCCUCACCACACACUCACAUUCUACUUACCUACCAAAGGCUUCUGUUAUACGGGAAAUAAAAUCCCAAAUCCUUUCCCCAGUCUACAAAGCCCUAGUCCUCACCUCCCUGGAAACCGUUAUUUGGAAUUAUCUCCUCUCCCUCCACCGUCAUUCUUUCGGCUUUGCAGAAGUGCCAUGUUUGUUUCUACCCAUUGCCUUCAUCCUGGCUUCUUUCAUCUAGAAAACUGGGCUCCCACAUUAAUUUGCUAAGCAAUUAAAAAUUAUCUCUGCGUUGGGGAGGCACUGUUAUAGGGUAGAACGUAGCAAUAAAAUCAGAGAGUUUUAUUUAAAGUCGCUGCUCUCAGAGAGUUUAUGUUCCCGUGGAAAGACAAACGGGUAAGAUUAAGUAGAGCUGACGUUCGGGUGGUAGACACAAAGGCAACAGAGCGUGUUGUGGCCUGGAGCGGCAGCAUCCCAAACAUGACGCCGGAGGAGAACAGCGGGGAAGUGACCGAAUGGGCGAGAGCCUGGCACGAUGAGGAACCCGACAAGGGAGAGCAGGGCGCAGGAGAGAGACAGGACAUACCCAGAGAUGCACCUUAAGAACUUGGGCAUUUACUCAGCCGAUAUGCGGCUUCGAGCAUUCGUUGCGUAAACGGGAGGCGCGACCGCGACCCCGCCGAUCCCGCGCGGCCCACUCGCCUCGUGCGGCCCGUAGACCACUGCCAGCGCCUUGGUGUUGCCCUGCUCGAUGUAGGCCGAGCCGUCGGCCUGCGCGAACACGCCCAUGCGCGCCUGGAUCUUGCGCAGCUCCCCGGCACGACGACCGUCCACCCGGUAACCCUGGUCAGACAGGAGCUCCAGCCCCGCCAUGUCGCCGGCCCAGCUCUCGGUCUCGUGGAGAACACUGCACCCUGAGCCCCAGGCUUGGCAGACCCAGUUUCCGGCGGUCCGGCCCCCUUCCGGGCCCGGGGACUACGGACUCCUUCCGGGCCCGGUCUUCUUCCGGGCCUGGGGACUAGGACUCCCGGCUGUCCGGCCUCCUUCCGGGCCUAGGGACUACGACUUCCGGAAGUUUUGGCUUCCUUUCGGCCUAGGCAACGAAGGCUCCCGCGACCCUGCUUUCCCCUCUCCGACCGGGGGAGGGCGGAGCUCUCCGGUGCGCUCCGGUGCGCCCCGGCUCUGCCCUUGGCCGGCUGGCCUCUGGAGCCGACUUCCUGGUUCGCCCGUGGGCCGGGGCGGUGCUUUUGUGUGUCGGGUGUUUGCGGGGCCGCAGUGCAGGCGUUCAUUCCAGCUGGGACAUUUUUCCGUUCUCUUACUGUUUUAUUCAUUUUUUUUUUCCCCAGGGGUUGAACCUGGGGAGGCUCCACCUGAGCUAGAUUCCCAUUUCCCCACCCUAACCUCGUCGGGAUCCAGGCGUGCUAGCAAGUGCUGUCCCGUGAGCCGCACCCCAGCCCGAGGCAGGUCUUACAGAGUUGCUAAGGCUGGCCUGGAAUUUGUGAUCCUGCCCCAGCGUCGUGGGUAGCAGGACUAGGAUGUAGGCUCCACAGCGAGCUAGACACGCUUUUUGUCACACACAUGUGUGAUCAGAUUUUCUGUAAAGCAGUCUGAUUUUCCCUUUUCACUUGGUUCUUCUGUCGUCCACCUUAACACAAUAAACUGUCCUUUCUGUGGUUUCCUCCAUA